GCAGAGAUGCUUUGGUGCCUUCGGGAACUGUGAGACAGGUGCUGCAUGGCUGUCGUCAGCUCGUGUUGUGAAAUGUUGGGUUAAGUCCCGCAACGAGCGCAACCCUUAUCCUUUGUUGCCAGCGGUUCGGCCGGGAACUCAAAGGAGACUGCCAGUGAUAAACUGGAGGAAGGUGGGGAUGACGUCAAGUCAUCAUGGCCCUUACGACCAGGGCUACACACGUGCUACAAUGGC
rnacentral:rRNA from 1 species